GGCUGUGGAGCAGCCGCUUUUUAUGCCCAUGCAACUGUGCAGAGUCCUCAGAUAACACAUCCCAAAGCCUGUCAGAGCCAGAGGCACAAGGCCCCACUUAUACUUGGGCAAAGAGAGGCCAGGGGUCUUGCCCAAGUCACUGGCAAAGCCGCAGCUCAGACCCCGGCGUCGGUUUCCAGGCCCCUCCUCUCUGCUCCGCUCCUCUCCAGGCCCCUCCUCUCUGCUCCGCUCCUCUCCAGGCCCCUCCCAGUUUUUGGUUAAACUUCUCAUGUCACGUUUUCUGACAACACCUUCCAUUGUACCAUCUGUUUCUGAACAAUACCUGGGACAUUGCAAACUUGUUCUGCAAGAAUACCCUGGGUCUCAGUGUGUGUGACAAGGGAUGGAAGUAGAUACGUGGUCUUGCUAUGUUGCCCAGGCUGGUCUCAGACUCCUGGGCUCAAAGGAUCUGCCUGCCUCAGCCUCCGGAAGUGCUGGGAUUACAGGUGUGAGCCACUGUACUCCGCCACAGGAGCGUGUGGCCGGGGACUCGUGCAUGCCAGGGAAGAGCACUGGCUUCCGGAUCCUCUGACUUCACCAUGUGACUUGGCCAGCAAUGACCCUGGGUUAGAGAUAGGUGGAGCGGAGGCAGGCAGUGGUCAGAGACCCCAGACAUGGGGUCCUGGCACCACAACUGUGAUUUUCCAUCACUUUAGAGGCACCAACAGGGGUCCCUCUGGAAACGUGGAGCAGAAUCAUCCAGGAUCCCGAAGAGGACUUUGUCCUCCUGCCCAUUUCCAGUUCCUCUCCCAUCUCCUCUGGUUUCCAGAAGCAGCACAUCCCCGGCCCCACCCCUCAUCUGUAUACGGAUCCUCCUAAUGCAGACCCAGGUGAUGGAAAACCCGUCUACAACGAACCAAGGCUGUUCGUGCUUUCAAAUAUUAAAUUCUGUUCAGAAUAUUAAAUAAUUUCAUCUUCAGUGAUCCCAGUAAAUUUAAUUAGCUCUUGUUCUCCCAAUAGAGUUGUCUCUUGGUUGCUGAAAUGUUGCAUUCUCAAGGAAGGAGGCCCACAUUCCUGCAGCGCGGAGGGCUCGCUGUCUCCCUGCGCAGCCUGCCCUGCCGCAGGCACCACGGCACAUCGGCUGCCAGGAUCCCCUGUGCCCUGGCAGGAGGCGGAUGACACGGAGCUCUGCUGUCCGUGAGCUGUUCAUUCUCUGGGGGCAGGGAGAACCUUGAGGGAUCUGCUGGGUACCCUCCGUCAGGGUGCUGUGCAAGGGCAAUUAUAAACGACACUCCAGGGACCCCACAGAGCUGGCAUCCUUCUUCCAGGGGGAGCAGCCUGAGGGUGGCUGGGUCUGCCUGUGUCCUGGAGCUAGGCCCGUGAAGAUGGGUCUCCAUCAUUUCUCCAUCUUCUGGCCCCCGCUCUAGGGAAGUGUGGGCAGCUCCUCCUGAGAGGUGAGCCACUGGGGAGGGUUGCAGGGAAUUCCUGAGACACUGCGGUGAGAAGACACUUCCUCGGUGCCUUGAGAACAUAAUCAAAGGUCAAUACCAUGAGAAAUGGUGGGGAAGGUGGUGCCUCCCAGGCCCCGUGUGGUCAGCCCUGGCCGGUCCCUCAUGGACCCCAGUCUGGACGCUGAAGGUGGAUGUCUUCCUGGUCUGGGAGGACCUAGUCCCUGAAAGGCAGAUGAGUGUACAAGCUGGUGUCUGACACUGGCUUGUAAAUUCACAUCUGGGUCCUCCCUAAGCCUCCAAAUAGGCCCGUGCACCGUGUGAAUUGCAGUCAACGACUUUCUUCCUGGAAUCACUCUCACUGCCCGUGUCUCCUUCUUGACCCUGGGGGCAUCUAUAGAGUGUUUAGACCCACACUUCCUGAUGAAUUUCUUGAGAUGGCCGAGGCAGAUGAUGUGGUGAUUUGAAGGCUGGAGGGUUCCUUCCCACAUCUGCAGUGGUUCUCACACUGGAGCCGCCUGGGGAGGUUUCAACGUCCUGAUGCGAGUCCCACCCCAGAGGGUUGACUGCACCCUGUGUGGGCUGCAGGAUGGACGUCCAGAUUUAGAAAUCACCCUGGUUAAUCCAAAUGCAAGAGGCACUGGCGUGAGGUAGUGGAGAGACGACUUGCUUUGCUGUCUGAGUGGACUCUGGCUCUGACGGCCGUCCCUGGCCAUGAGGUUCUGAAGAGACUGUGGCCUCCACCUCGUGGGGCGGGGGCUGUCGUGCUUUUCCGGGUUGCUUGCUCUGGGGGAAGCCUGCUACUGGGUGCUGAGCAAACCUUGCAGGUCUGGGUCACUUAGACUCUCAGAGACUCAGUUUCCACAACUGUAAACUGGGGUCAAUAAUGCAGACCCGCUGCAUUAUUUUGAGGGUUAAACGAGAAAAUACACGUUAGGUGCCUAGUGCAUAGUAGGGAGUCAGUAAGUGUUACUCACUUCUCUCCCUUCCUCUCCUGAACCACGAGCGUUAAAAAUAUUUUGUAAGGAUGAAACUUCCAGAACUUGUGUUCAAAUAAUAAUUAACACGGGCUGGGCCUUUUCCUGAGAAGCCCCUGAUGAGGGUUGGAAAUGUGUCUGCAAUGGGCCAUUUGCUCCACUGGCAUUUGGAGAGCCCCUAACAUCCUGAUACCGGCAAACCCAUUUAAACUUGAAUCUGGAAAGGACUGUCAAGAGGCAGGAUCAAGCAACACAGUACCCACAUUUCCUCCGAGAAGAGCUCAAGCCGCCUCUGGGUGGCUCUUAUGCAACACGUUUGCAUCUGGCCACUGAACAACAAAUAAAAACAACAGCAACAAUGACCCAUCUCCCUGACUGAGCGAUGACUUGUUUGCAUCAUUAGUGCCGUAUCCAGUCUGGGCACGGAGGUGCUGCAUGCUUGGCCGACCGUGUUUCCCUAAGGCGCUCACUCUGGAGUCUUCUUGGUCAAAGGCCUGAGACUCUGCGGGGUUCUCGAGCAUCGUGGAAACCCUACAGGCGGACCCCCACGUUCAUCAGGAGGCAGUCCUUUAGUCUUCCUUCCCCUGUGAGCUGGUACCUUGGGGGAGAAACUGGAUCCAUGACAUGCCUUACCAAGUUAAAAAAUUUUUCCUUAUAGUUUUCUUAAUUACAAAUACGAUUCAGAUCCAAUGUAGAAAAUUUAGAAUAUAAUCAUAAAAUUCAAAAAAGAAAAUACAAAAUAGCCCGUCGUCCACUUACACAGAGGAAACCACUGCCAGGCCCAGGAGUGUGUCCUUCCAGCCUGCUUCGGAGGCCUGGGGAGUAUAAUGGGAUUGCUUUGCACAUUCUGUUUUAUAAAUCUUUUCAUUUAAUGGUUUAUAAACACUUUGCAAUGGCAUUCAAUAUUCUUCUACAAUAGGAUUUUUAAUGAGUGCACAAAUUAUUUACCAAGCACCCUGGAGUUGGACAUUUAGUUUGUUUUCAAUCUUUUGAUGUUAUGAGCAAUGGUGCAAAUAUUCUAGUACAUAAAUCUUUCCAGAUAAGUCUUUGUGUUUGUUCCUGAGUUUCUCCUUAGGGUAAAUUCCUAUAAGUGGAAUUGCCGAGUUAAAGGUUAAACACAUUUGGAAAGCUUUUGAUCCGAGUGCCAAUCUGCCCUCCAGAAAGAUUACACUGACUCCGAAUCCCACCAGCAAGCGAAUGAGAGGUCAUUUCCCCGCACCCCCUGAAGCACUGGGUGCAAUGGGCAUUUUCAAAAUCUGGCAGGUGGAAAAAAUGGAAGUGGGCUUUUGUUUUGAUUUGCUUUGCUUUGGUGACUGGUGGGAUUCGACACUGUCCCUGCUUUGGAGUCAUUUCUCAGUCUUCUUUUGUGAGUGGCCUCUUCAAGUCCCUGCAUGCUGAGGUGUCACCCAGCAUGUGUGGCCCUGGCUUUGGUAGUUAAAGAUGGCCUGGGAGGUGAAGAUGGCUGCAUGAAAUUU
rnacentral:lncRNA from 1 species